GCGCCCUUAGCUCAGCUGGAUAGAGCACGUCCCUUCUAAGGAUGUGGUCGUAGGUUCGAAUCCUACAGGGCGUG
rfam:Vibrio maritimus DNA, contig: contig00009, strain: JCM 19240.